AGAGUUUGAUCCUGGCUCAGAAUCAACGCUGGCGGCGCGCUUAACACAUGCAAGUCGCACGAGAAAGUGGAGCAAUCCAUGAGUAAAGUGGCGUACGGGUGAGUAACACGUGGGUAAUCUACCUCUUAGUGGGGAAUAACCUGGGGAAACCCGGGCUAAUACCGCAUAAGCUCGAGAGAGGAAAGCAGCAAUGCGCUGAGAGAGGAGCCCGCGGCCGAUUAGCUAGUUGGCAGGGUAAAAGCCUACCAAGGCAGAGAUCGGUAGCCGGCCUGAGAGGGCACACGGCCACACUGGCACUGAAACACGGGCCAGACUCCUACGGGAGGCAGCAGUGGGGAAUCUUGCACAAUGGGGGAAACCCUGAUGCAGCGACGCCGCGUGAGCGAUGAAGCCCUUCGGGGUGUAAAGCUCUUUCGGCAGGGAAGAUGAUGACGGUACCUGCAGAAGCAGCUGCGGCUAACUACGUGCCAGCAGCCGCGGUAAUACGUAGGCAGCGAGCGUUGUUCGGAGUUACUGGGCGUAAAGGGUGUGUAGGCGGUUCUUUAAGUUUGGUGUGAAAUCUCCCGGCUCAACCGGGAGGGUGCGCCGAAUACUGAGGGACUUCGAGUGCGGGAGAGGAAAGUGGAAUUCCUGGUGUAGCGGUGAAAUGCGUAGAUAUCAGGAGGAACACCGGUGGUGUAGACGGCUUUCUGGACCGUAACUGACGCUGAGACACGAAAGCGUGGGUAGCAAACAGGAUUAGAUACCCUAGUAGUCC
rnacentral:rRNA from 1 species